rnacentral:rRNA from 1 species
GACGAACGCUGGCGGCGUGCUUAACACAUGCAAGUCGAACGGAAAGGCCCUGCUUUUGUGGGGUGCUCGAGUGGCGAACGGGUGAGUAACACGUGAGUAACCUGCCCUUGACUUUGGGAUAACUUCAGGAAACUGGGGCUAAUACCGGAUAGGAGCUCCUGCUGCAUGGUGGGGGUUGGAAAGUUUCGGCGGUUGGGGAUGGACUCGCGGCUUAUCAGCUUGUUGGUGGGGUAGUGGCUUACCAAGGCUUUGACGGGUCGCCGGCCUGAGAGGGUGACCGGCCACAUUGGGACUGAGAUACGGCCCAGACUCCUACGGGAGGCAGCAGUGGGGAAUAUUGCACAAUGGGCGGAAGCCUGAUGCAGCAACGCCGCGUGCGGGAUGACGGCCUUCGGGGUGUAAACCGCUUGCGCCUGUGACGAAGCGUGAGUGACGGUAAUGGGUAAAGAAGCACCGGCUAACUACGUG